GACGGGGGGGGCAAGUGUUCUUCGGAAUGACUGGGCGUAAAGGGCGCGUAGGCGGUUUAAUAGGUGUGAUGUGAAAGCCCUGGGCUUAACCUGGGAAGUGCAUCGCAAACGAUUGAACUGGAGUAGAUGAGAGGGUGGCGGAAUUUCCGGUGUAGCGGUGGAAAUGCGUAGAGAUCGGAAGGAACGUCGAUGGCGAAGGCAGCCACCUGGCAUCAUACUGAGCUGAGGCGCGAAAGCGUGGGGAGCGAACAGG
rnacentral:rRNA from 1 species